rnacentral:rRNA from 1 species
GUGAGACAGUUCGGUCCCUAUCUGCCGUGGGCGUUGGAUGAUUGAAGGGAGUUGCUCCUAGUACGAGAGGACCGGAGUGAACGAACCUCUGGUGUUCGGGUUGUCACGCCAGUGGCACUGCCCGGUAGCUAAGUUCGGAAUCGAUAACCGCUGAAAGCAUCUAAGCGGGAAGCGAGCCCUGAGAUGAGUCAUCCCUGACCCCUUGAGGGUCCUAAAGGGCCGUUGGAGACCACAACGUUGAUAGGUGGGGUGUGUAAGYGCAGUGAUGUGUUGAGCUAACCCAUACUAAUUACCCGUGAGGCUUAACCAUACAACACCCAAGAAGUGUUCUG